CUGUAGCAGACACCGUUGGUGGCUGACCUACAUCUCCCUGGCCUAUCCCUGGGGUUGCCUGCGGACAGUUCUUGUACCCAUCCGUGGCCCGUGCACCUGUCUUUGCGUCUGCUGGCCUCUGGUUUUCAAGCUGCUUUUACUCUGCUGUGUUUCACCAGACAUCUUAAAAUGAAGGUAUGACUACGUUUGAGAAAGGACAAGGACCUUGGCAGGAAGCCUAUGUAUACUCGCUGAGAUUUUAGAUCUUUUGAUCAGAGCUCUUGGCUGUUGUGAUGUUAUGUACUGCAGUGAUUUUAAGCCCCAUACAGAAGCAACAAGUGAUGGAGGCUUUUAAAUUCUAAGGAUGUUGGUAGCCCAGACCAAGUAGUGAUAUAUUUUCUUUUCAGAUGAAAAGAAUCCCUGCAGAUGGUUAAAGACUGGCCUUCAAUGUUGUUGACCUUGUGGUGCCUGAGGUCAAUGGCUAUGGGACCUUUGUAGAACUAAAGACCACACUUGCAGAAUUAAACUCGAGUUAAGAAAAUUAAAUUUGUAGAAUUAAAGACUAGAUGAUCUCUCUGGGCCAUGAGAGAAUGAGAAAAGCAAUCCAGUGGGUGGAGGGGGGUGAAGACCCUCACCCAUGAAAAACAGAUUCUUUGUAUUAAGACAGAAAUGCUUAUCAGAUUUUGAGCAGCAGAAACCCCAUGAUCUCAUAAGUCCUUGAGUCCCAUAGUUUAUAGCUCUUUGGUCUGGCUCAGAAAUGCCUUGGACCAUGUGAACUAAGACCGUCAGGCCAGCAAAGUGAAGUCUGUUUUCUAAUCCGUACACUUUCUAUCAAGUAAAAGAUCCUAGUGUUUUAAGUGAAUGCAUUUGUAGGAUCCGGACAUAGAUUACUGGGCAUUCUUGGAUAGUGUGAGGGCAAGCGGAUUUGCAUCCUGAAUGGCAGGUGGUGGUGGUGGUGUUUGGACAGAGGGGGUCGUGUCUGUGAUUGAGAAGUGUGUCCAUCAUGCAAGUGUAAUGUAACGUGUGUCUU
ensembl:lncRNA